rnacentral:rRNA from 1 species
CUUACAUCUCUUCGGAGCAUUUUACGAGGUGCUGCAUGGUUGUCGUCAGCUCGUGCCGUGAGGUGUCGGGUUAAGGUCCCAUAACGAGCGCAACCCCUACCUUUAGUUGCCAUCAGGUUAAGCUGGGGACGUCCAAAGGAACUGCCUACGCAAGUAGUGAGGAAGGCGGGGAUGACGUCAAAUCAGCACGGCCCUUACGUCCAGGGCUACACACGUGCUACAAUGGCCGAUACAGAGGGCAGCUACCUGGUGACAGGAUGCAAAUCUCCAAAGUCGGUCUCAGUUCGGAUCGGAGUCUGCAACCCGACUCCGUGAAGUUGGAUUCGCUAGUAAUCGCGCAUCAGCCAUGGCGCGGUGAAUACGUUCCCGGGCCUU